CGCCUGUUUAACAAAAACAUUUCUUUUUGCAAUUAGAAAAGGUAGGCCCUGUUCAAUGAUUAAUUAAAUAGCCGCAGUAUUUAAUUGUGCAAAGGUAGCGUAAUAAUUUUUUCUUUAAUUGAGAGGUGGGAUGAAUGGGUUAACAAAGUAUUUACUGUGUUGUAGCGGAGAUUAUAAAUUUAUAAGAGGGUGAGAAAUCUUUCUAGAUUUAAAGGGACGACAAGACCCUAGAAACUUAAAAAUUGGUUGUGGUAAAUGAUAGGUUUAUUUAACUGGGGCGGUUGAUAAUAUAAACAUUUAGAAUUAAUACAUUUUGUAUGGUUGUAUAUGAUCUUGUUUUAAAUAGAGAGAUAAGUUACUCUAGGGAUAACAGCGUGAUUAGAUUUGAGAGUUGGUAUUGAAGAUUUUGGUUGCGACCUCGAUGUUGAAUUAAGUAUUCUGUCCGGAGUAGAAGAUGGAUAUAGUAAGUUUGUUCAACUUUUAAUUGCUUACAUGAUCUGAGUUCAGACCGG
rnacentral:rRNA from 1 species